CCACCUUGCUUCUCCAGUGACUUCUUAUAUAACAAGCCACCUGCCCUCUGCUGGCUGAAUUCUCCCCUUCCACAUUUGAACUGUGCUCAAUGUGAGCUGCAUCUACACAGCAGAACCGAUGUCGCACCCCUCACACCCACCAGAGCAUAUUCUACCAGGAAGAAGAUGCUGGCAUGCUAAUGCAUCUGGCCUGGGACAUUUUCUGGUAUACCAGACCUCAAUUCCAGUGUGUUGCUUCCCACCAGACCAAAUGUAUUCUGAUGCUGAUGGUGAUGAGGGACAGGUUUCUCUGUGGUGUUUGUGGAGUCCACAGACUUGAAAAGGAUCACACUGAUAAACCUCAGCAAUCUCCAAGACCAAGCAGCUCCCUCAGCUCUCUACCCGUUUCUCUGUCAUGCUCUCCCCACACCCUUAAGUGGCAGGGCAUGAAAUGCUGCUUUUUUCUUAGAGCCAAAGGUCUGUUCCUGGAAGCUGCUAAGUAUCCUAAUUUUCCGCUGAGCUCAGUGUAAGUAGAAGCUGUGUAGCAUGGGAUUAGGCUUGAAGAAAGUGAGUAUAAAAACUCUGGUGUACUUUCUCAGUCCUCCAUGCCAUGUGUUAGACACUUCUGGGAAGUGUGUCUCUACUGCUGAAGAGACUGGUCCAUGACUUCAGUUCUGGUCCAGUAAUGGGCAUACUGGCUAGGCUAAAGGGCUGUUUUAUUAGCACUGUCCAGCACCUCAUGGGCUCUGCUCUAUUUCUUUUACAGCUAAAACUAUAAAGGAAAUACAAAAGUUUAAAAGCUCUAGAACCAGGUUCUGCACUUUUUCUUCAGUGACCUGUAAAAGAUGUGGAAAAAUAUGCAAAGGUAACUUUCAGGGUUGUAAUCUAGAUUAAAUCUAAUACUUCAAAUGAAUACUCAAAUGCAUAACUGAUACAUGAAUGACUAGUCCCCUUAACUUCUUCACACUUUUUAUGGAAGGAAAGUUAAAUACUGAGAUAUCUGGCAUUUCUGAUAGGAGGGGAGAAACAUGGGCCUCUGGUUUCUCAAAAGUGAAAGAUUUCUCUCUCUCUUUGUCUUGCUUUUUUGAUACCUUCUGUAAUCAAGAAUUCAACAGCAAAACAUAUUGUAACAAGUCUUUGCUAUAUGCUUCUUUUUAUUUUGAACAUCAUUCGUGUUUAUUUUACAUGUUCUUGAAACAAUACAAAUGACAUACACCUGCCUUCCUCACCCAACAGUAUGUACUCCUUCAUGUUUCAAAGGUAGUACAAUCACAAUGCUGAGCUGAUGAGAGAAUUAUAGUCCUGGAAACAGACUGCAAGGUCAUAAAAAAAGAUCUUGAUGCCUGAUCAGUGGGAUAGAUGGUGCUGUGCCACUUACAAAUGGAGUCACUUCAGAAAGGAUAGAUGAAGCGUUUUUAAAAGAGACAGGUCAUCUCCAUGAUUUUUCUUUAAAUGACAGAAUAUCCUACUGGGUCUUAUUAUUAGUAACAGAGAUAAAGUGCAGCAGUUUUUAUUUUUUUAACUGUAGUG
rnacentral:lncRNA from 1 species